UUCUAAUACAGUUCUUCCUGAAGAUCCAGUGUUCUCUGCCUGAGUGGAGAAUUCCCUUCUUUCAUUAGUUAGGCUUAACAGCGCUAUUUCUUCAUUGGCCAUGCCUCUACUUAAUCCUCCUGUUCUCUGAGUUUUGGGUAGCUGGCUGUCUUCUCUGAUUGUAUCUCUGGACUUUUCUGGUCUUGCUGCUUUGCUUGUCUGAGCGCACCUUCUCUCCUACUUGGCUCAAGUUUGUCAUUUGGCACCUUUGCUGCAUCUUUAGGCAUGGUGUCUUUGCUCCUAUGGCUUUCGUUACUAUUCUAGUGCUUGCUGUUUUCUUCUUGCCACUCCAGUUCUGGACUUGCACUUAAAUCUGUUUUCUUUCAUGAGUUCAAGUUUCUUAAAGCUGUCUCACUUAUCCUAAGUUUUUCUUUCAGAUGUGAGUGUAAGAAUAGCCAUACUCCUGGUGGGUUUUUACAUUUCCACUUUUUUCCUGCUAAUGUUUCCCAGGGAAGUUUCUGCUCUUUUCCUUAUCUUAAAGGAUGGUUGGCAUGUGGCAGUUCAGGGUAUCUGCUAUACUGUGCCUAAAGAACUAGGACUUGAAUUCAGAAAGUUAGAGGAAGAGAGGUAUUCCCUGCUGGAACUAUUUCACAGUGCAAAAAUAUGGAAUUCCAGGGCAAGCUUAAGGCACAUGUAAUGCAAGACCAAUUCUCUAGUACUGGACUUCCUGAUCAUUGGUGGACAUGCAAGGUAAGUUCCUUUCAGGUUUUAUGGCAAGCCUGAUGUUUUUUUAUGAAGUGACGGCAGUGUAAGCAGUGACCAUAAGCAUUUCAUUCAGGUAACAGUCAUCUGUUGUGGGGGAUGUUGCUUAUUCAGCUGUGUGUUGCACAUGCCUUAUUAAACUUCUUUGUAGAAGAAAUCUGGGGAAGCAAGAAGUUUUGUCGUAAUGCCUCUCAUUAUUAUCCAUUAGUUACGUUUGUCUCAUUUUUCUUCCAUUUGCUUCAGAUUAUUGUUCUUAGUUUCACUUCUGAGGCUGAGGAGUGGUAAAUUACGAUAGCAAAAACAUAAGCUAUUAUUUAUGAAACAAUUUUUUGGUUAAUUUUUGUAGUGUGGUUAACUGUCUUUGGUUGUAAGCCAAAGGUAAUGGUCUUUUCUGUGCGUCUGAGAGUUGAUAUUCUACACAUCAAGCACUGAGGUAAGUUGUAGACUGCUGGACUUACUGGGCAGAAAUAAAUUGAGUUGCACUCCUUGCUUCACUAAAGCAAGAACACAAUCUUCUGCAUUAACACAGGAACAAAACAUAAAGGACCGAUGCCUUUCAUUUGGAAAGGAUAAGACUUUUUGUGGGUUUUGUUUACUAGUUUUAACUCUUAAUUUUAUGGUAACUAAAUCUGGAUCGUGGUGGUGAAUUGUUUCAUUUUUUUGUUUGACAGCUGGAUGGUGCUGUUGUACAACAGAGACUGCAUGAAAACAACAUUGCUAACCACUGCUGUCUUUCUAGGUUUUUUUUGCCUCUUCCACAGAUUUACAACAAUAAAUUCAUUCAGGAGAAAGGAAGGCUGGAUGUUGCCUCUAUACGAUAGAGAAGAGGAGGGUGAGGUCUAGAGUCUAGAAUGCUGGAGAUAGCAAGUUUGUGUGUAGCCUGAGAAGCCUUCAAGCAUGGUCCUCCAGAGUAUUUUGUUUUCCACUGAGGUCUCUUGCUCAGAGCUGAGCACUGAACCAGCAGUAGCUCUGGGCUCUCUGCCAGGCCCAGGUGAAUGUCCAGAUGUCUUUGUUUUACUGGAGUUGUGUGUGCUGCAGCUCUGGGUGUUCUUUGUCUUCUCUGACUAGUUCUUUAAGUAUGGAAAGUAAUAGAUCUGACUACUUCAGAUGGUUUUUUUAAUUGUUACUGCUACAGUUUUCUAUCCAAUAGGUAGAAGUACUACAUUUAUACCCACUAAAUGCAAUGGACUGUUAAGACUUGAGUAUGUUUUUUAGUCUGUCUCUAUAUGUAACUGAGACUCAUAAGAUCUUGAAUAAAUUCUCUCUCCAUCCUUCAGGGUUCUAUCUUGGUGCCUUCUUUGUCCAAAUCCUUUUGUGAGUGACUGCAGUUCUGACACCUUCAAUACAGUUUAAGUCUUUAAAUCACACAGUUACUUCCCACUUGGCACUCAAGAUGCUGAACUAAAUGCAUCUAACCUGAAACUUUUAAAAUUAGCCUGCCUUCCCCUUCAGCAUCCCAUUGAAUAAUGUCAGCCUCUUACCUUACACUAGUGCAAAUCCUGCCCUUAGACUUCCUUUUUUCUAUGACUUCAAUCUUGUGGAUUUUUCCUC
ensembl:lncRNA